CCAGUUCAUGUAUACAGUGUGAUCUACCUAAGGAUGUCAUACCGCUCUGCUACUAUACAUACAUCUUGCACUCUUGUUCACGAGGGACAAAGAUUGCCAGAUGAGAGUUUAGGGAUGAGUGAAGUGGACAGCAGGAGAGGGCCAGGCAUGGAGGGGCCUGGUGAGAAUCGCUGGCUUCGGAAGCACCUGCUGUCCCUCAAGACGCUAAGUUUGGUGGUGUUGUCAGUACAAACAUCAACCAUGGUGUUACUUUUGCGAUACAGUCGCACCACCUCCAUACACCAGCCUUACAUCAUCACCACGGCUGUCCUCAUGUCUGAACUACUUAAACUUGCCCUCUCCUUGUGCUUCUUACACCUGGACUCAGGCAAAAUCAUGAGAGUGACUCUGAAGCGUUUGUAUGAAGAUGUGCUACUAAAUGCAUGGGAGACAUUGAAGCUGGCCAUACCUGCCUUCCUGUAUGUGGUGCAGAACAACCUGCUGUUCAUUGCUCUCUCUAACCUUGAUGCAGCUACUUACCAGGUGACUUACCAGCUCAAGAUUCUUACUACAGCAAUUUUUUCGUGGGUAAUGCUUGGGAAGCGCCUUGCUCCCAUCCACUGGCUGUCCCUUUGUCUGCUGAUGUUGGGGGUCUCUCUUGUCCAGGUUGAUGGAGGCAAUGCUAACAGAAGCACCUCCAAAAUAUUACCUGAAGUGGAGGCCAUGGAAGGAGCUGAUCCCAGUUUGUUGGGUGGAGCUGAAGGAGGGGAAGUUGGUGAAGGAGGAGAGGAAGUACACCCACCUGAUGCUCACAACGCAGCUCACCCUAAUACUGAGGUGCGGCGCCUCCUGGGCAUCCUGGCUGUGUUCGUGUCCUGCAUCUCCAGUGGGUUCUCUGGGGUGUACUUUGAGCGCCUUGUGAAGAAAGGGAAGCAGACGUCCCUCAUCAUCAGAAAUAUUCAGCUGGGGGUGUUUUCCAUUGCAUUUGCUGUGAUGGCUGUGAGUGGUGACAGCAGAGCAAUCAAGGAAAGUGGGUUUUUUCAGGGCUACUCACUUGCUACCUGGCUGGUGGUGCUAAUACAGGCAUUUGGUGGACUGAUGGUAUCAGUUACAAUGAAGUAUGCUGACAACAUCCUGAAGGGUUUUGCCACCUCUCUAUCCAUUGUAAUGUCCAGCUUGGUGUCUUGGCUGGCACUGGGGGAUGCUGCACCUACCAUACAGUUUGUCAUUGGCGCCUCAAUUGUGAUAUCCUCGACUUUCCUGUAUGGUGUAACACCACAGAGGGAGAGCGAGAUAAGAGAGAGCACUCACCAUGCACCCUCUGCCAGCCCACAUAAGGUGUAAGACAUGGCUUAUUUGGGUAGCUUGCUGUGAUACUGCCUUGUUGUAACCUGCUGGUGGCUGAGUACACUUGAUUGCCGAGGAAAAAAAACUUACGUGAGAUAGUUUGAAGGAGCAGCGGGAGUCACCGGAAUUGGGAGAUGUUUCUUUUCAUUGCAAGUUCUGUCAAGUGGUGUAUCCUGUGGCCUAACAUCCCUUUUUAGGGGUUGUACUUCACCUGUCAGUCUUGCUGGAUACUGUCUCUCUCAUGUGAGUCCUGCUCAGUAUUGUGCCCUACAGCUGUGAAUCCUAGUCAGUGUUAUUUCCUGCACCCACGAAUCCUGUUUAAGACUUCUGCAGCAACAGUUUUGCUGAUAGUAUCAGCUGUUGGUUCCAGCAGCUGCUAGCUGUGCUGAGUAUUCUGGACUAGAUAUGUCAUAAGGACAUAGAACCCCCUCGUAUGGUAUUAUUGGUUUGAUAAACACAUACGUAUAUGAAGGACCUCUUUCAAUUUUUUGGUCUUAGUUCCAUUAAUAUUGUGUUCUUAUAUGGUUGAGUCUUAUACACACACACACACACACACACACACACACACACACACACACACACACACACACACACACACACACACACACACACAAAGGAUCUGGUUGUGGCUCAUGAUUGUAUCAAGAUAUACUUUGCCAAAUAUAUAAUUCUUAUUGUACAUCCUAUUGAUGUGUCUGCAGAGGCUUCAAGGAUAGACAUUUAUUUAUGCAAAAUUUGUUUGCACUCGGUGAAAUAUUAGAAUAUUUGCCCAUGGUUGUUGUGAGAAGAGAAAAGUAGAACCUGUAUUAUUGUGAUGUGCUGAACUUGUAGUUCUACUAUACAAUUGUUUUUAGAUUGCAAAUGAUUUUAAUAUAAUAUUUUAAACAUUUAAUGGUCUUAUAAUCAUAACAUUAUACUCAUACAUCAUAUAUAGGUUUAUGUCCUUCAUCUUGAGGACAAGUUCCAUUAGUAGAUAGAAUGAAAGUCCUGUGCUGAGAUGGUUGCCUUGUUGUGUCAUACAGUGUCUGCAACAUCUUAUGCUUCAUUAUUGAUUACUGUGAAUACUUUUAAAAUUUGGUCACAAGUUCAAGAUACUCAAUCUUUCAUUGUAUUUUGGUGUUAAGUAUGUCACAGACCACAAUUAGUAUGUGAUUUUACAUUUGUGUCACAUUGUAGGAUUAGUAUGCCUGUGCUAUCCCUUGACACCUUUAACCUAGAAUGCUGGCACUGUAGCUUUCUUCAUUAACAAUUACAUUUUAAAACUAUGAUCAAUUAACUUUCUUGUAAUGGAGUGUAGAAACAUUCUUCAAACAUGCAGUGCCACGGUGGUAUGCAGCGUGUUUGUGGAAGCUGCCCACCUGUGAGUGUCAUGAUGUGUGGUGAUUUCAAAAUUUCCAUGAUUUUCUGUUUUUGUUCUUAUGAUGCAAAUUUUGCCUCACACACACACACACACACACACACACACACACACACACACACACA